CCUACGGGAGGCAGCAGUGGGGAAUAUUGCGCAAUGGGCGAAAGCCUGACGCAGCGACGCCGCGUGAGGGAUGAAGGUCUUCGGAUCGUAAACCUCUUUCAGCAGGGAAGAACGGUCACUGUGCUAAUCAGCAUUGAAUUUACGGUACCUGCAAAGGAAGCACCGGCUAAAUCCGUGCCAGCAGCCGCGGUAAUACGGAGGGUGCUAGCGUUAAUCGGAAUUAAUGGGCGUAAAGCGCUCGUAGGCGGUAUGUCAAGUCAAGGGUGAACUCCACGCGCUCAACGUGGUAAAUGCCUUUGAAACUGGCAAACUGGAGUGUGGGAGAGGAAAGUGGAAUUCCAGGUGUAGGAGUGAAAUGCGUAGAUAUCUGGAGGAACAUCAGUGGCGAAGGCGACUAUCUGGCACAUAACUGACGCUGAGGAGCGAAAGCGUGGGUAGCAAACAGGAUUAGAUACCCGAGUAGUC
rnacentral:rRNA from 1 species